GUCUAUUAUUACAAGGGUGGGUAUUUGCCUAUUUAAGGCCAAGGUUUCCCAACUGCUAAUGCAUGUGCUCAGUGGUUAUUGCCAACUGGUGAUGCAUGUGCUCAAUGAAAAAAACAAAACAAAAUUGAAUAAGCAAUAAAGUGUCAUAACUUUACGGGUAAAUGGGUAUCAUUCUUAAAAAGGUGGGUUUGUUGUAGGGCAGGUACU